UACGUAGGGGGCAAGCGUUAUCCGGAUUUACUGGGUGUAAAGGGAGCGCAGGCGGUAUGGCAAGUCAGAUGUGAAAACCCAGGGCUCAACCCUGGGACUGCAUUUGAAACUGCCAUACUGGAGUGCCGGAGAGGUAAGUGGAAUUCCUAGUGUAGCGGUGAAAUGCAUAGAUAUCACGCAGAACUCCGAUUGCGAAGGCAGCUUACUAAGCCAUAACUGACACUGAAGCACGAAAGCGUGGGGAUCAAACAGG
rnacentral:rRNA from 1 species